rnacentral:rRNA from 1 species
GACGAACGCUGGCGGCGUGCUUAACACAUGCAAGUCGAACGGAAAGGCCCUGCUUUUGCGGGGUGCGCGAGUGGCGAACGGGGGAGUAACACGCGAGUAACCUGCCCUCGCCUUUGGGGGAACUUCAGGUAAAUGGGUGUAUUAUCCGAUAUGAGCUGCGUCUGCAUCGUGGCGGGUGGAAAGUUGCUGCCGUUGGGGAUGGACUCGCGGCUGAUCAGCUUGUUGUUGGGGUAGUGGCUUAGCAAGGCUUUGACGGGUAGCCGGCCUGAGAGGGUGACCGGGCACAUUGGGACUGAGAUACGGCACAGAGCCGUACGGAAGACAGCAGUGGGGAAUAUUGCACAAUGGGCCGAAGCCGCGUGCAGCAUGGCCGCGUGCGGGAUGACGGCCUUCGGGUUGUAUACCGCUUUCGCGUGUGACGAAGGGUGAGUGACGGUAAUGGGUAAAGAAGCACCGGCUAACUACGUG